rnacentral:misc_RNA from 1 species
AAGUCGUAACAAGGUAACCGUAGGUGAACCUGCGGUUGGAUCAUUAAACAUUUUUUUUUUGGCUCCCUUUGACGCAAGUUAAAGGGGUUUGACAAAAAUUAAACCCACCUGUGAACCAAUUGAACGAAGUUAGCCGUUAUAAAGUGCGCCUUGUUGUGUUGAGUUGCUGUUGAUUAGUAGUAGUCUAGGAGUUUUAUCUCCCGACUCCUCUUCUUCAGUGUGUGCUCUUCACUUAACCACACGUAAGCCCUGGCUUUGGUGACUGUUGGAAGGGACCUAGGUGUCUUCACAAUUAUAGCGGUUGACGGCUUACAGUAUACUUUUACUAUUUUUAAACCCAAAACUCUUAUUUUUCCUUGUAAUGAGGAAGCCAAACAGAAACAACUUUAGACAAUGGAUCUCUUGGCUCUC